rnacentral:lncRNA from 1 species
AGAAGCAAGAGCAGAGGCAAGGACCAGAAAAAACUGAAAAUCUGAAAAAGCAACUGACUGAAAUAAAGGAAAAAUCCCAGGAGGAGAAAGGAAAACUGAAACAAAAGUACACUGUGCAAAUAAAUAAGCUGGAGGAAUAGUUCCAUUAAAAAAUCCGAAGGAAUUAGCCUUAUUCAGACAGAGCUGAAAACAAUAAACAAGAAAGAAUAAGAUGUUCUAAAGAAGAAUUUAAAGAACAAUUAAUAGAAACAUAAGGAGACUGUUAGGACCUGGGAAGGCAUGGUUUUUGAAGAAAAUCAUCGACUAGAACAAAAGGCUGAAAAAAGACAAUGCUGGCGAUGAGAUCCCAUCAUGAAGUUGUCGUGCAAUUGAACAAUGAUGGAAAAAAUGUGUUUAAAGAGAGUAGUUAUCUCCAGAAUGCUCUUGCAUACCACCUGAAAGAAGUUUAUGCUCUACAAAAACGCUCCCAGAAGUUGCAAUAGAAUCAAAUCCUUUUACAUCAAAAGGAGAUUAAUGAGCUCUUGGUUAAGGAAAAGAUUAUGCAGCUUACCCAGUAGAAAACACAAAUCCAAACACUUCAGAAGAAGGUAGUAAGGUUGGAGACUGCUCUAAGUUAUAGGACCAGAGUUUGAGACUGAAGUGUUAAAACUGUAGCAACAGCAAUGAUAGAGAACCAAUCAGGUUACGUAUAAACUGACAAGCAGUAGCAAAGUCAGGUGAACAAAAGAAAAAUGAAUUGAGUGAAGAAGCUGGCCAAGAACAUGCUAGGUGAGAGAACAGCAUUGGACAGUUCUUUUUUAAAUGCCCUACACCAAGUGAAAUAACAGAUCCUAUUUAUCAGGAAGCAUUUAAAUUGAAAGCACAAGGGGCUUUCAAUUACAAAUGAGAUCAGCACUUACAGGAAGAAUGGAAUAUCCCCAAAUCAGAACAAUUGAUGACAGAGAGCACAGCAUCAAUAGUGAAACGGGCUCUUACAGAGACAGAAAUAGACAAGUAUUGAAGGAAAUAUGAAUAUUGGAGAUUUGAUCUGGGAGCAGAAUGAGAAAGUAAUGAAAUUUCUCUUUGCAAAAAUAAACAGUUUUGUUUCUAGGAAAUUUAGUCAGAUUUCUAGACCUCUAGUUCCAGGCUGUGUUGUCUCUGACGGUGGAGAAAAAAAAAAAAUUGAGGAAUGAAAGUAAGCUUCAAGAUCCAACUUUCAUCACCUGGCAAAUUCCACUAUCAGACUCUUUUCGUGAAAUGAUGUUUCCCAAUAUUUUGGAAAGAAAAAAUUACAAGUGUCUGACACAGGGACCUU